UGCUUAACAGCUUGGAUUGAAGAGGCUUGUCUGGUGGGACUGAUACCUUGCAGAUCAUUCCAGGAGCCGCCUCCAUCCAAGGCCAACAGCUUCAUUAGGGCCGCUGCCCUGGGAGAAGGCCCUAAUAGCAAUCAGAUGGCGCAAGUGGAAAAUCACGGCGCUCGGCGAGCAAGCUGGAAAUUGGCGGGCUGUGGUGCCUGGUGCCUGCGCUGCUCAGCGGGAGGAUGAGUCAGGAGGAGUGCAGUGCCCAGACUGGGAGAGAUGUGCCUCUGUGGGCAUCUUGAAGGGAAAUGAGAAGCGGAGCUGCCCCUGCACCUGCGCUGGGAGCUGCCUGCCUCCUGCUUGUCCUGCCCAUGUGCGAACCUCAGCAUGGAAGAGGGACUCUUGCGCUGCUCCCUGCGCGGCUCAGCUGGCCUCCUGGGGGGCAGCCAGCUGGGGCCCAGCUGGAACGCUUGUUUACAUGGGGAGGCCGGGGGAGGCUGAAUCCCGGCGAGUUCCAAGUGUAAUUGCGUUUGGACACUUAAAAGGAAUUGUGUGAAGUGGGCAGAGGCUCUGAAGUCCACCGCCUUAUUUGGUCCAGGCACAGAGCUGCUGCCUUGAGCCCUGAGGUCUGGACAUUCCAGUUUCCCAUCUUUCCAAUGUGGGAUUCUCUGCCUUUUCCGAUUCCCCACUUCCCUGAUGCCAGAUACUGCCUGACUGUGUCCAUCUCUCCCCCGUCCCCUGGGCCACCUCCCUGCUGAGACCCCUCGCUGGUGCCUCCCAGGUGCAUUCUCCUCGCUGCCCCCAGCAGAGUCCUUCCCACACACCCAGCUCCUUGGUGUGGUGCCUGCCCAUGGGUGGGUGGUGCACCCACUGGCAUCCCUCCUCUGCCCUGUCCACCUCAACUUCCAGGGCAGCCUGGACACCAGGUUUGGUCCACCUCGUCCACACUCACCUGCUUCUGUCCCGCCUUAAGCGGAUCCGUGAUGUCCCGUCAUUAGACUUUCAAUUUCAGCACAGGACUGAAUAACUAACCUUCAAAAAGUUUGC
rnacentral:lncRNA from 1 species